GAGCGGCGAACGGGUGAGUAACACGUGAGUAACCUGCCCCAGACUUUGGGAUAACCUUCGGAAACGGAGGCUAAUACCGGAUACGACCUUCUUUCGCAUGGNAUGNGGGUGGAAAGUUUUUCGGUUUGGGAUGGGCUCGCGGCCUAUCAGCUUGUUGGUGGGGUGAUGGCCUACCAAGGCGACGACGGGUAGCCGGCCUGAGAGGGCGACCGGCCACACUGGGACUGAGACACGGCCCAGACUCCUACGGGAGGCAGCAGUGGGGAAUAUUGCACAAUGGGCGGAAGCCUGAUGCAGCGACGCCGCGUGAGGGAUGACGGCCUUCGGGUUGUAAACCUCUUUCAGCAGGGACGAAGCGUAAGUGACGGUACCUGCAGAAGAAGCGCCGGCCAACUACGUGCCAGCAGCCGCGGUAAGACGUAGGGCGCGAGCGUUGUCCGGAUUUAUUGGGCGUAAAGAGCUCGUAGGCGGCUUGUCGCGUCGAAUGUGAAAACUCGGGGCUCAACCCCGAGCUUGCAUUCGAUACGGGCAGGCUAGAGUUCGGUAGGGGAGACUGGAAUUCCU
rnacentral:rRNA from 1 species